AUGUGCUCCUAUUUAUGACAAGAUUGCAUCUAAGGCAAAGUCAAAUGCAUUUGUCUCUAUAAAAAAUACUUUAGAGAAGUCAAUACAAUAUAAGAUUGGUGCAGAAGUAAAAGCUUUCUUCAAAGCUUCAAGUGAUGCUUCUACUUCUUUACUCCACUUGAGCUUGUCUUUACAAGUUAAGCAUUGUCAUAAUACAUGGCAUUUUGCUUAAAAAUGCACUGGACACCUAGCUAUAAAAGAUAAAAAGAAAAUUGCAACAAUAAGUCCUAACAACUCUAAUAGAUUUUUAAACAAAUUAUAAUUAAAGAUUAGCAAAUAUGAUAAAAAAAUCAAUCAAAUUCAAUCAAAAUUUCAAAGGAAUUAUAUAAGAAAUACAAAGUAUUCCUAGAAACCUUUUAAAAAAUCAUAAAAAAAUAAUAUAGAAAUUUAAAAAUAUACUAAAAUAGAAACCUUAAUAAAACCUUAAUCAAAAUCUAAUUAAAUUUUAGUUAAAUCCUAUCUAAUCCUAACCAAAUCCUAAAUAAAUCCUAAUCAAAUCCUAACAAAUCCUAAACAAACUUUAACCAAAUCUUAGUCAAAUCCUAAACAAAUCCUAACCAAAUCUUAAAAGAAUCUUAACCAAAUUCUAAUCCAAUCCUAAACAAAUUCUAAACAAACUUUAAUCAAAUCUUAAACAAAUCUCAACCAAAUCCCAACCAAAUCUUAAAUAAAUCCUAAAUAAACUUUAAUCAAAUCCUAAAUAAAUCCUAAUGAAAUCCUAAACAAAUUCUAAAUAAAUCCCGGUCAAAUUCUAAAAAAUUCUAAAUAAAUCUUAGUCAAAUUCUAAAUAAAUCCUAAUUAAAUAUUAAAUAAAUCUUAAAUAAAUCCUAAAUAAAUCCUAACCAAAUCUUAAAUAAAUCUUAAAUAAAUCUUAAUCAAAUCCUAAAUAAAUUCCAACCAAAUCUUUAAUAAAUACUAAUAAAAUCCUAAUCAAAUCCUAAACAAAUCUUAAUCAAAUCCUAAACAAACCUUAAUCAAAUUCUAAAUAAAUUUUAACCAAAUUCUAUACAAAUCCUAAAUAAAUCCUAACCAAAUUUUAGUCAAAUCCUAAUUGAAUCCUAACCAAAUCUUAAAUGAAACCUAAACAAACCUUAAUCAAAUCCUAAUCGAUCCCUAAAUAUAUCCUAACCAAAUCCUAAAUAAUUCCUAGUAAUUCCUAUUGUAGAUUUAAACCUCAAUAUCUAAUGAAUGAACUAUCGAUUUUAACUCAAAUUUUUCACACCUUUUAAUAAUUAAGUUGAAAAUAAGCAUAAAAUUUUUAAAGAAGAUCGAACUCACCAAAGAGAAGAUCAAUCCUAAAAUCUACUUAGAUGUUGGUCGGCCUCCUUCUUCAAUCUUAAUGUUGAAUUUCUAGUACCAAUAUCUCUUUAUCAAACAAUUGAAUUGAUCUCAAAAUUCUUAUUUAUGUAAGAAAAUAAGUCUACUACCUAUAUACAUAACUUUCAUUCCAAUCCAACUAAUAGAUUGCAAGAAAUCUUAGAAACCUUUACUAGACAUAAAAUUCUACUUUUUGAGACCCUGAC
rnacentral:lncRNA from 1 species